AUGGUGGAGGCCGCCCCGCCUCCCCUCCACCGCGGCCUCCCGGACGACUUCGCCAUCUGGGAGAUCCUUGUCCGCCUGCCCCCCAAAUCCUUCCUCCGCUGCCGCGCCGUCUGCCGCGCCUGGCGCAGCGCCACCACCGCCCGUGACUUUCUCCUCGCCCACCACGCCCGCCAGCCCGCGCUCCCCCUCAUCUAUGGCCUCGGACGCGACAUCGAGUCCCUAGACAUUAUCCCCUUCGACCACCGGGUAGGGGUCGCCACCGCCGACGACCGGCUCCUGUCCGUCGCGCGAAUUGGUGGCCCUUACGUCCGCCCGUGCAUCUCGUGUGAUGGCUUACAAGUCCUCUACAUCGGCGUGGAUCAAUUAAGCAUCGUCAACCCGGCAACUCGUCAAUGCGCUCGCCUCCGAGGUUUUACUGUAACCGACACUCACCGACCCGUGGGGAUGUACCCGCACAGCCUAAGCGGCGAAUACCGGAUACUGCUCGCACCCCAUGAUCCAGAUGACUCUUACCAGCUCUACACACUAGGCUCCAGCCAGCCGCCAAGGCAAAUAGACAUAGAUGGCCCUGUUGUGGAGGAACUGUCACCCUUCACGCUUCUCUUGUUCCAUCAUACCCUGCAAUGGUGCGCAGACAACGUGAUAACUGUAUUCGACACCAUUGCUGAGUCGUUCGGGGAGAUGCUCGCUCCGCACGGCACCGACCAGUUUGUGAUGGAUGAAAUUUAUGGUGGUGUCCUGUUUGAGGUGGAUGCAAUGCUCGGCAUGUUCAGUCUUAAUGCUGAAUUUACCAGCAUUGGUAUCUGGGCUAUGCACAACUACGAAAGCAGGGUCUGGGCAUUCAAAUACCGGGUCGAAUUGCCACUUGCGGAGCUCACCGUGCAGUUUGGAGAUUUUAAACCAUAUUGUUGCAGGGUGCCCUCUUCUUGGGAUGGUGAUGUGAGCAUGCUGCUCCAGUUUGGUGACUGGCUACUUCAGCUUGACAUGGAUGGCAAGGUGGUUGCUAGUUUACGCCGUCACAAAGGCCUCUUGCCAACUCAACAUCGGCUCAAGCAAACUCUUGUUCAGCAUUCCUUCUUUACGGCACUAGAGGGUUAUGUUGUCAAUGCUUCACCUUUCAUGUAA
rnacentral:rRNA from 1 species